AUCCUUCAGGUUCAGAAAUGUGAUGAAUGGGCUUGGCACGCGCCUGCGUGAUAUGUGCCGUCCUCUUGUUACGACGGGGCACAUUACCCAUCUGACC
rfam:Alligator mississippiensis ScZkoYb_117, whole genome shotgun sequence.